CAGCAGCCACGGUAAUACGUAGGGUGCGAGCGUUGUCCGGAAUUAUUGGGCGUAAAGAGCUUGUAGGUGGUUUGUCGCGUCUGCUGUGAAAAUCCGAGGCUCAACCUCGGGCUUGCAGUGGGUACGGGCAGACUAGAGUGUGGUAGGGGAGACUGGAAUUCCUGGUGUAGCGGUGGAAUGCGCAGAUAUCAGGAGGAACACCGAUGGCGAAGGCAGGUCUCUGGGCCAUUACUGACACUGAGAAGCGAAAGCAUGGGGAGCGAACAGGAUUAGAUACCCCAGUAGUCCCUGUCUCUUAUAC
rnacentral:rRNA from 1 species